UACGUAGGGGGCAAGCGUUGUCCGGAAUCAUUGGGCGUAAAGAGCGUGUAGGCGGCCAGAAAAGUCCGUUGUGAAAGUCAAAGGCUCAACCUUUGAACGCCGAUGGAUACUGCCGGGCUAGAGUCCGGAAGAGGCGAGUGGAAUUCCUGGUGUAGCGGUGGAAUGCGCAGAUAUCAGGAGGAACACCAAUAGCGAAGGCAGCUCGCUGGGACGGUACUGACGCUGAGGCGCGAAAGCGUGGGGAGCGAACAGG
rnacentral:rRNA from 1 species